rnacentral:rRNA from 1 species
AGCGAACGUUAGCGGCGGGCUUAACACAUGCAAGUCGAACGAGAAAGGGUCCUUCGGGGCCCGAGUAAAGUGGCGCACGGGUGAGUAACACGUGGGUAAUCUGCCCUUCGGCGGGGGACAACCACUGGAAACGGUGGCUAAUACCGCAUACGACUGGAGUCUCCUCGGAGGCUUCGGAGAAAGGCUUCGGCCACCGAAGGAAGAGCCCGCGGCCCAUCAGCUAGUUGGUGAGGUAAUGGCUCACCAAGGCUCAGACGGGUAGCUGGUCUGAGAGGAUGAUCAGCCACACUGGGACUGAGACACGGCCCAGACUCCUACGGGAGGCUG